CCCGAACGACUCCCCCACCCUUAGUGAGAAAGGAAGAACUGCUGGAGGAGGAGGAGGAUAAAUCCCCAGUACGCCGCUGGGGCUGCAGGAGGCGGAAAAGAAAUCAUUUUUUUCUUGAAACAAGAAGGUCAUUGGCCUGGAUCGCAUAAACCGCAUCAUCUCCAGUGACAACAGAACAGUCAGUAUGGAAAGCUUGAAAGUAGUAUUUGCUCAUGUGAGUGUGAAGGUCCAUAUGGUGAUCCAAAGAGGAGUCCAUAUGUCCCUGUGAUGGUUUAAAGAGAGCAAACCAAGUCUAUCAGCAUCCAGAGCAAAGACCAAGACCAGCAGAGCUGUGAGGAAGCAAGAGACAGUGUUCCAACUGAAAGAAGCCAGAAAAGGACACAGUUUGAAGCUCCCACCAUCAGAAGUCAAGCAAAUAACCCCCUUAGUCAGAGCCAGGGUGGAGUUAGAGGCUUGUCUUCCUCUGUUAAUAAAGCCUUUAUUAGAACUGUUAAGACUGGCUUGUGUCUCAACC